UAAAAAUACAAAAUCAGCCGGGCAUGGUGGCACAUGCCUGUAAUCAUGUGCCAGAUGGAGAGUGAAACUCCGUCUCAAAAAAAAAAAAAAAAAAAAAAAAAGGAAGAAAGAAAAAAGAAUAGCAGCUAAGGCAAAUAAAAGCAAGGGAGUACUGAUCAAAUCUGAGGUUGGUAAAAACAAUAAAAACCAAAUGAAAGCACUUAAUGAUAGUGGUGCUGAUGAGGGGCAGGCAAACAGGCACUUGCACCUGUUAUUGUUGGAGGGUAAUCGGGCAGCACCCAUGAGACAUGUCAAUGCACACAAUCUGAGACCCAGGAAUUUCACUGCAAGGAACUUGACUUCUGCAUAUCCUUGGAAUAUUAUGGCAAAAUAUGUUCAUGACAGCACAGACUGAAAUAAUUAUGUUCAAGACUGGAAAACAAGUGUCCACCAGUAGCAGAAGGGUUGCGGAAAUUGUUCCUUCUGCAGAAUGGAUUCUGCAGUACUGAUGAUUAAGGGGUGCACUGACGCUGCACAGAAUGUCCCUGUGCACAGCACGGCCUCGUAUUUUUUUUUUCAUACGGGGUCUCUGUCGCCCCAGCUUAAGUGAAGUGGCACAAUCUCGGUUCACUGCAACCUCCACCUCCUGGGUUCAAACGAUUCUCCUGCCCUACCCUCCCAAGUAGCUGAAACUACAGGCGACCACCACCCACGCCUGGCUAAUUUUUGUAUUUUUAGUAGAGACGGGGUUUCACCGUGUUAGCCAGGAUGGUCUAGAUCUCCUGACCUCAGGUGACCCACCAGCCUUGGCCUCUCAAAGUGCUGGGAUUACAGGCAUGAGCCACCGUGCCUGGCAGAAUAUUUUUUAUAAUAUAUAUAGUUAAGGAAAAGCACAAAACUAUUUUUACAAAAGUAGAACCAGAAACUUAUUUUGGGGAGAGACAAUAAAUUCAGUGGAUUGGGAAGUAGAUGUAUUUCUAAUUUUAUGCCUUCCAUGGUUUAAUUUUUUUUUUUUUUUUUUGAGAGGGUGUCACUGUGUUACCCAGGCUGGAGUACAGUGAUGCAACCACAGCUCAUUGCAACCUCCACCUUCUGGGCUCAAGCAAUCCUCCCACCUCAGCCUCCUGAGUAGCUCCCGUGUGCAUUGAAGCUGGGACCAUAGGGACACACCACCAUGCCCAGCUAAUUUAAAAAUUUUUUUGUAGACAUGGGGUCUAUGUUGCCCAGGGUGACCUUGAACUCCUGAGCUCAAAUGAUCUGCCCACCUCAACCUCCCAAAGUGCUGGGAUUACAGAUGUGAGCCACUGCACCUGGCCUGAAUUUUUUAAACAUGUGUAACUUUAGGUAACACAUAUAUAUUACAAAUACACACCAUAGUUCACAUAAAUUAAGAUGUGUUUACUGGAGUUAUCCAGAUGGCAGGCUUACAGGUCAUUUCUUAAUUGUCAUAAAACAUAUAUAACAUAAAAUGUGCAACCAUCCGCACCAUAUCCAGAACUUGUUAAGCAUUCUAAGCAGAAACUCUGUCCCUAUUAGAAACUAAGUCAUUCCUUCCCCCCAGUUCCUGGCAGCCUCUAAUCUACUUUGUCUUUAUGAAUCUGACUGUGCCAGGCACACCUCAAGAUUCAUGGAGUCAUACAGCAUUUGUCCUUUUGUGAUUGGCUUCUACCACUUAGAAUAAUGUCCUCAAAGUUCCUCCAUGUUGUAGCAUGUGUCACUUGCCUUUACAAGGCUGAGUAAUAUUCCAUUGUACCGAAAGACGCACCUUGGUUUGUUUAUCUACUCAUCUAAGGACACGUGGGUUGUUUCCACCUUUUGCUGCUGUGGACAGUGCUGCGUGGACAUGGACGUGCAAUCUUUUGGCGUUCCAGCUUUCACUUCUUCGGGUGUACACCCGGAGGUGGAACACUGGAUCCUAGGGUAGUAGUACUGUUUGAAUUUCUGAAUCGCCAGACUGUUCUCCACAGUGGUUGUGCCACCUUACAUUCCCACCAGCAGUGCACAGUGGCACUGUUACUUUAAAAUUCAUAUUUUCUUUUCAUGGCUGCUGUGGAGGCUGCACUGUGGGCUUCUUGGUUUGUUCCUGACCUUGCUGGUGCCGUGUGCUGUGCUGCCAAUGACCUUCCACAGCAAUCUGAGAAAACCCUACACUCUGGACCAGGCUGGUGGUGGCCUGGACGGGAGGUGAGGUUCAUGUGGAGUCUGGACUCACUGCCUGUCGUCAGCAGGGAACGCAGGAAGCCACAGGUGAGGCCUUUGGAGGCCGGUUCCUCCCACCCACGGACAGCUGCAGAGUUAACUCCCAAGGGCCCUCUGGGGUCAGGCCUGCAGCUGUUGGGAACUUCGAGCUCCCCUCUCGCAGGUUUCUCAAUACUUUUCCAGGGAACACCUGCAUAGAAUAGGAAGUCAGGGUGGGAAGUGAAAGCUGCAGACCACUGGGCCUGGGCCAGGCCUCUGGAUUCCAAUAAAAGUUUGGUGCUGGGCCUGGGAACCUGCAUCGCUGAGAUGCAUGCUCUAGUUUGGGGAUUGCAGAUUUGGGCAAAAGCCGGCCUCAUUUUUUGGAAUUCAGAGGCAGGAGUGUGGCCCCCCAGCUGUGGCUGCAGGGAGAGCUCCUGCCAUCAGCCAUGAGUAGGGUACAUACCUACCAGGUCCCUGGAGCCCAGCAGAGGUUGAAAAGUGAAAAAUGGGAGGUUCUGUUGAAGGCAAGGCUCACCUCGACUCCAGAGCCCGCCUCCCUGCUUGGCUGAGGGCCCUUCAGAGACGAGAGGGCUCCAGAAGUGCAGAACCACCCCCAGCUCCCCAGGGAGGCCUGGCCAGCUGGCAUUCCCCCGUGAGGAUGUCGCAAAGGGUGACGUGCUGAACGCCGCACGGACUCAUUUAGUCCUCACCCCAGGAGGCAGCAGGGGCUGCAUAGCUAACUGCCCCAGCAGCCCAUGGGUUCUGAGGGGCAGGGGGGUCUUUUUAGACCCAGGUGGUCUCUGAACAAUCUGGAAGGUGGAGAAAUGACUGUUUAAAACACCCCCAUACUGGCUGUGUGGGACUCCAGAACCCAGAAAGAACUUGUGGUGACUGGGCAUUUGGGGGCUGUCCUUGGUCAGGUGCCUGGUCUCCAGGCAGGUGGCUCGGCAGGAGAGACACAGGGCUGAGCAGCCUGGUUCUGUCCCUGCCUCCUGGAGCUCCCUGCCCUUGAGGUUUUGGGUUUGUGAAAGAGUGACAGUGGCAGUGCCAAGCGACAGCUUCAGCACCCUCUGAGCACCACUCUUUGAUGUCGACCGAAUGUUUUCUCCAUCCCGUGUGAGGUGGUUUCACACCUUCAGCCGCCUCUUCCAACCUGGCUGUCACCCUGGGGCUGGAGCUGCAGAGAAUGAGGAUCCGUCCUAGCAGGUGCUGGGCUGCAGGAGCCUGGAGAGCACAGGGGCUCUCAGCAGGGCUGAGGGGCAUGUCAAGGAAGGGGAUGGUGGGAGGGUGCCAGCUGAGGGCAAUGCAUGGGGCCUGGGCUCUGGGACCCUGAUCCAGUGGAUGUGAGUGCGGUGGUGAGCCUGCCAUGCAGAGAUGAGAUUGCGCGGUGGGGCUGGGCUUCCUCCUGGAGUCAGGGGAAAGGAAAAGAGGCAUCGCCUCUCUCUCAUCACAGUAUGACAGGUCAUGGAGCUGAGGAAGCCCAUGAAGUGAGGCUGCAUCCUGGACAGCAUGCCUAGGCCAAGGGGCAGGCAGCUUCUUCUACUGGCCGCACACUCACCUGGUGUGACCCCAACUAUCUGUGGGGCUUUAUUUUUUUUUAAACACUGUCUCUGUCGCCCAGGCUGGAGUGCAGUGCAGAUCCUGGCUCACUGCAACCUCCACCUCCUGGGUUCAAGUGAUUCUCCUGCCUCAGCCUCCUGAGUAUUGAGUAGCUGGGAUUAUAGGUGUGUACCACCAUGCCCGGUUAAUUUUUGUAUUUUUAACAGAGCGGGGGUUUCACCAUGUUGGCCAGGCUGGUCUCAAACUCCUGGCCUCAAGUGAUCCACCCGCCUCGGCCUCCCAAAGUGCUGUGAUUACAGGUGUGAGCACGCCUAGCCUUAUAUGUCUCUUUAGAAGUGGCUCAGAUCAAGUGAUGUUGCGCAGGCUUUGGGUCUUAGACUGAAAGACUCAUAGAAACUUUUUGCCCAUUUUAAAUUGCAGUUAUCAGAUGUUCUGAGCUCAUUAACUACUGUACACUUACAG
rnacentral:lncRNA from 10 species